rnacentral:pre_miRNA from 1 species
UAUUAAAAAUUUCAUCUAUUUAUACUAUUAAAAAUUGACAUGGUUGACGGAAUAACUAGAUAAUAACAUGUGACACGCCACAUCUACCUCAUACUGACAUAUAAGGAUCAAUUUCAUCCAUUCAUAAAUUGAUAAUUCUUUUAACA